rnacentral:rRNA from 1 species
UACGGAGGGGGCUAGCGUUAUUCGGAAUUACUGGGCGUAAAGCGUACGUAGGCGGCUUUGUAAGUAAGAGGUGAAAGCCCGGAGCUCAACUCCGGAACUGCCUUUUAGACUGCAUCGCUUGAAUCCAGGAGAGGUGAGUGGAAUUCCGAGUGUAGAGGUGAAAUGCGCAGAUAUCAGGAAGAACACCCGUGGCGAAGGCGGUUCUCUGGGACGGUACUGACGCUGAGACGCGAAAGCGUGGGGAGCGAACAGG